rnacentral:rRNA from 1 species
GACAGCUGAGAUAGCAACUUGCAUGAACCAGUUCCCAAUGAAUCACUGAAGUUAAGCAACGUUCUGCGUGGUUUGUUAGUAUCUGGAUGGGUGACCAUCUGGACAAUCGCGUGCUGCUGGCU